GGUGGUUCUCAGGUGAUGCACCCCAGAAUGGGGCUCCCUCCUCUCGUUCCAGGUGUGUCACCCAAGAACCACA
rfam:Myotis brandtii contig170271, whole genome shotgun sequence.